GUGUCAGCAGCCGCGCGGUAAUACGAAGGGACCUAGCGUAGUUCGGAAUUACUGGGCUUAAAGAGUUCGUAGGUGGUUGAAAAAGUUAGUGGUGAAAUCCCAGAGCUUAACUCUGGAACUGCCAUUAAAACUUUUCAGCUAGAGUAUGAUAGAGGAAAGCAGAAUUUCUAGUGUAGAGGUGAAAUUCGUAGAUAUUAGAAAGAAUACCAAUUGCGAAGGCAGCUUUCUGGAUCAUUACUGACACUGAGGAACGAAAGCAUGGGUAGCGAAGAGGAUUAGAUACCCUCGUAGUCCAUGCCGUAAACGAUGUGUGUUAGACGUUGGAAAUUUAUUUUCAGUGUCGCAGCGAAAGCGAUAAACACACCGCCUGGGGAGUACGACCGCAAGGUUAAAACUCAAAUGAAUUGACGGGGACCCGCACAAGUAGUGGAGCAUGUGGUUUAAUUCGAAGAUACGCGCAGAACCUUACCAACACUUGACAUGUUCGUCGCGACUCUAAGAGAUUAGAGUUUUCGGUUCGGCCGGACGAAACACAGGUGCUGCAUGGCUGUCGUCAGCUCGUGUCGUGAGAUGUUGGGUUAAGUCCCGCAACGAGCGCAACCCUCACUUUUAGUUGCCAUCAUUAAGUUGGGCACUCUGAAAGAACUGCCAGUGAUAAGCUGGAGGAAGGUGGGGAUGACGUCAAGUCCUCAUGGCCCUUACGUGUUGGGCUACACACGUGCUACAAUGGUAUCUACAACAGGAAGCAAGACUGCGAAGUCAAGCAAAUCCUUAAAAGAUACCUCAGUUCGGAUUGCACUCUGCAACUCGAGUGCAUGAAGCUGGAAUUACUAGUAAUCGUGGAUCAGCGUGCCACGGUGAAUGCGUUCCCGGGUCUUGCACACACCGCCCGUCA
rnacentral:rRNA from 1 species